rnacentral:rRNA from 1 species
CUUUAAAAUAGCGUUAAAGCUUCCUCUUGACUACUCCUUAAUUUCUACAAAUACCUUAAACCCUUUACUAUUAUUAAGUAAUUUUAUAAAAAUAUAAAAGUCUUCAUGCUAGAACUAGUAACAAGAAAUUGAAUUUCUCCUAAAUAUAAGCAUAAACCAAAAUGGACCAACCAUUGGUAAUUAACGUUUAUUAACUAACUAUAACAACACCUCAAGAAAAUAUUAUAACCUCGCACGUUAACCUUACACAAGCAUAUUACAGGAAAGAUUAAAAGAAUAGGAAGGAAUUCGGCAAACUUUAACCCCGCCUGUUUACCAAAAACAUCGCCUUUUGAUUAAAUAUAAGAGGUCCAGCCUGCCCAGUGAAUUACUUUAACGGCCGCGGAACCAUAACCGUGCAAAGGUAGCAUAAUCAUUUGUUCCUUAAAUAGGGACUUGUAUCAACGGCAUCACGAGGGUUAUACUGUCUCCCCACUCUAAUCAGUGAAACUGACCUCCCCGUGAAGAGGCGGGGAUUAUAAUACUAGACGAGAAGACCCCAUGGAGCUUUAAACCCAAUAAUAUUCUCAACAAUGACAAUCCAUCAAAGUACAAAAGUCUAUAUCUAUUGGUUUUAGGUUGGGGUGACCACGGAGUAAAACAAAUCCUCCUUGACGAACAGGUCUUAGCCUAAUCCAAGAGUCACUACUCUAAGAAUCAAAAAUUUGACGUAAAAUGAUCCGCAAAGCGAUCAACGAACCAAGUUACCCUGGGGAUAACAGCGCAAUCCGUUUCGAGAGCCCUUAUCGACAAACGGGUUUACGACCUCGAUGUUGGAUCAGGGUAUCCCAGUGGUGCAGCAGCUGCUAAAGGUUUGUUUGUUCAACAAUUAAAACC